rnacentral:tRNA from 1 species
GCUUAAUUAGUAUAUAAAGUAUUAUAGACUUCCAAUCUGUAGGACCAAUAAGUCAUGGAUUAAGCA